GGGACCUUGCGUGGUUCCGGAUACCUCGGUAAAAAUACCGGCGUCUUCCACGAGAGUUUGCUUCUCUACUUAGCUCUUUACAUUCCGCAUUUAUAUUAAGCAUUUUAGUUUCAAUCUUGUAGUCAUACUUAUUUAGUGUAGAUUGAAACUUAGCCUUUGCGGUAGAGAUAGCAACACUUAGACAAAACCUAGUUUGCACAUUCUAGUUUUGAUUAUUUGCAUAGGUUUUGCUCUAGGGAUUUAAUUGUGGCCUAAUUUAGUAAAAGUUUUAGAAGUCCUAAUUCACCCCCCCCCCCUCUUAGGCGUCACCCGUUUCCUACAAGUGGUAUCAAAGCCCGGUUUGGCUCAUUUGAAACGCUUUAGCUUCACCGCUAAAAGAGCCGACGCUUUUUAGAGGAAGGGAUGGAUACCCAUAGGCCACCACACUUCGACGGCACUAACUUCCCAUAUUAUAGUGCUAGAAUGGCUUGUUACCUAGAGGCCGUUGAUCUAGGUGUUUGGAGAGUCACUCGUGACGGGAUGAAACCCCUCAAGAAUCCCGAGAAACCCACCACGAGUGAGGAAAAAGAAAUCCAUUUAAAUGCUAGAGCCAAAAAUUGCUUGUAUGAAUCUCUUAGCAUGGAUAUUUUUAACCAAGUAUUUACCUUGAAAACUGCUAAUGAGAUUUGGCUAAAAUUGCAUGAGCUCCAUGACGGCACAUCCAAUGUCCGUGAGCAAAAACAUUGCCUAGUCUUAAAUGAGUAUAAUUCUUUUGCUAUGAAAGAUGAUGAGCUUGUUAGAGACAUGUAUUCUCGUUUGAAUCUAUUAAUCAAUGAGCUCAACUCUAUUGGCAUUAAUAAGCUAGGCGAUGCGGACAUUGUGAGGAAGAUUAUCUCCCUGCUACCACAACAAAGAUAUGGGAGCAUCAUCACCAUCCUUCACAACAUGGAGGACUUGAGCAACAUGACCCCGACCAUUGUGAUUGGGAAAAUCGCGGCUUUUGAGAUGUCGCGAAAAAUGAGUCGGGGAGAGGAGCCAACAUCCACAAGGCCAUAUGCUUUUGCAUGUGAUGAAAGGAAGGGCAAAAAGAAGGCUCCCACUCCAAGUUCCUCAAGUGAAGAAGAGGAAGAAGAAGAAAGUGAUGAUGAUGAAGAUAAUCAACCAUGCACAUCAUCCUCCGAGGACAAAGAAACAAUCCAACGCGUCGGAAAGGUAAUGAGGAUGAUCCGCAAGAUUAAUCUAAUGGGUGUGCCCCUGCAGGUCGAGGAUCUUCUCUUUAACAUUGACAGGAAAAAGCAAAGAAAGAGAGGAUGCUUCGCAUGUGGGGAGAAGGGCCACUUCAGGGACAACUGUCCAAAUAUGGCCAAACCCAAAAAGGAGAGGAGCAAAGACAAGGCGCUAACAAGUGUUAGAACGUGGGAUGAUUCUUCAAGUGAAGAUGAACCUCCAAGGACGCGCAGCCACCGGUCCUCGUCACGAUCAUCACGGUCAUCACACAAAUGCCUCAUGGCAAGAGGUAACAAAAGCACUCCAUCCUCUAGUGAUGAAAGUAGUAGUGAUGAUGAAGGUGAGGGAAAGGCCUCUCUAGAUGAGCUUGCGGAAGCCGUGGAAUUUUUCCAGGAUGUUUGCACUAAGCAAAAGGCUCAACUUAAAACUUUGAAAAAUAAGUUGGUUAGCUCUCAAAAUGAUUACAAAGGUUUGCUAGAAAAAUUUGAAACUCUUACAAACUUAAAUAGUGAGCUAUCAACUAAAAUUGAGCUAUUAGAAUCUAGUGCUCCAUCCACUGCUACCGAUGAUGGCCUUAUUAAAAAGAAUGAAAAACUGAAAGCUAAGUUAGCUAGCUCCCAAGAAGCUAUUGAAAAUUUGCUAAAGAAAAUGGAAAUUCUUAGCAUACACAAUAAUGAGCUAACUACUAAGCUAGAAAACAUUGGUAGCACCCCAACAGCAUCUUUAGUUGAAAUACCUGAAAUAAUUAAGAAAGAUGUUUCUACUUCCUGCUUUGAUUUAAUUAAUGAUUCUAACCCCUACAACCAAGUCGUUGUUGAGAAUAUUAUUGUAGAGACAUGUUCGGAUGAGGUUGCAAAGGAAAAUGAACAAUUAAAGCAAGAAGUGGCUCGCCUUGGCAAGGCUUUGUAUGACAAGAAAGGCAAAGCCAAACAAAUCCAACCUCCACAGGAUAACACCACUGCGGGAGUGAACAAGCCUAUGGAGGGAGAAACUGUGAUUUGUAGGCUAUGCCACAAGGAAGGCCACAAGUCUUUCCAAUGCAAGGCGAUGACCGGGGAUAAACAAAGGCAAAAGCUCAAGCAAAAGCCAUCAAGCAAAAUCUCCAGCACCUACAUCAAAAAGGUGAACAAAAAGAAUGCUACACCAUAUUUGAUCAAGAAGAAAAAGAAUGGAAAGGUGAUAGCAAUCAAGGCCAACAAGCAAGCCAACAAAGGAAAGUGGGCCAAACGCAUCUGGGUGCCAAAGGAAAUAAUUUCAACCAUGAAAAGCACCAAAAAGGUUUGGAUCCCAAAAGGGAAGUGAGUGGACCGAAGGUCGUAGGGAAAAUUUGGAGACUUGGCUAAAUUGGGAUGUAUAUCAUGGGAUACAUCAUAUUGGAUCAAGUUUAUUGCCAAGUGGGCUAGUGAAAACUUUGGACCCAAAUUUCCCACCCAUGACUAAGGUAACUAGUUUUAUUGUAUUCUUCAUUUUUAGAUAUGCGUAUCUAUUUACCUUCUAUCUAGUUUACCUGUCUGGCCUAGUAUUACAUUUGUUAUGCACUUUUAUUUAAAAACAUGCAUACUAGGUAAAUCACAUGGUAGGAUUGCUUGCUUUCGAUUCAUACACUUAAGCAAACCUACAUGGCUUAAAAUGUUUAUUUAAGCAAGGCACAUAGCUUCUAUAUCACUCCAUAGUAAAUGAUGCAUAAAUUGAAAAUUUUGAGUUCUACAAGUUGUAUCAUUUAACUUAUAUGUGCCAAAGUUGGGAUUAUGGAUAAUUUGCCCCUCUUGAUAUCAAAUCAAAGUGCAUGUCUCCUACAAGUAUUCAAAACUUGUAUGCACACCUUUAGGGGGAGGUUACUCUAUAAUCUAACACUUUGAGACUAACACCUUUUCAAGUCUAUUUCUUGUGAUAGUCUCAUUGUAAGGAAAAUGAAGUCCCCGGAGAAAGACAACAAUCUUCCACUGCAAAAUCUCCAAGAACUCUCAUGUCUCUCAAGCUCACCAUUGACUUUCAAUUGGUAUCUUUUGAGACUACAUUUAGUAUCAUUUACAUGUCUUCUCCAACAUUUGAUUAGACUAUAUUGCAUAUCAUAUGCUUCCAUGUUGCUAAAAAUGCAUAAGUAGUUAACUCAUAUUUUGUUACCUAUGCAUAAGGGAAGUUAGUCUUUUCAAAUCAUGUCUUGCACCUCUAAUUUUCACAUGCUUUUUCCUAAGUUGAGGAUCUCUGUCAGGGGGAGUAUUUCUUCAUCUCUAAAGGGUGGAGAAAAACUCUUUCUAAAGGAGAAUACUCUUUUAGGGGGAGUAAUCUUUUGAGGAGCUCCUUCAUGUGGUAUCAUUCAUGGUUUAAUUUAAUAUCCUUCCAGUGAUAUCAUUUGAUACAAUUCUUGUUGAGGGCAAGCUUUUAUUUACUUCCUACAUGCUUUUAAUGUCUUCCUUUUCGGUGGUUGAUGCCAAAGGGGGAGAAGUUUAGGGACCAAAGCAAUGAAAACUAUAUCAAACACAAAACACCACCAAUUUAAAAUUUUAUAUUUCCAAAUGGUUUGUCCAGUGGUUUUGGUUAUUUGGUCCAAAAAUAGGAAGUAAGUGAAUUAUGGAGUUAGGGGGAGGCUUAAGUCCAUAAUAUCACAUUGUGGGGACAAUCAUGCAUCCUAGCAAGUAGAUUGCACAUUUUAAUUCAAAUACUUGUAUUAUUUGCUUGCUUUGGUUGUGUUGUCAUCAAUCACCAAAAAGGGGGAGAUUGUAAGGAAAAUGGACCCCGGGCCAUUUGGCUAAUUGAGUUUUGGUGUUUGAUGAACAACACAAUCCGUGAACUAAUAAGUUCUCUAGUGUUUGUGUUUGUAGUUCACAGGAUGCGAAGAGAAUUGGACCAAGGCAAUGAGGAUGCAACACCUCAAAAGAAGACAUAAAAAGAUGCAUAGGAGUCCAAUACUCAAGAACAAAGAAGCCCGAAGAAAUCAGCGAAGAAAUGCAAGACAAGGGCUGUCAGCCAGCGCCAGGUGGCGCACCGGACAUCGGUGUCCGGUGUGCACCGGACUGUCCGGUGAGGCACCGGACAGUCUACGCAGAGAGGCCGCAGACAGGCGCUCUCUGGCUGUAGCACCGGACUGUCCGGUGUGCCAACGGGCAGAAGGCAACGGUCGGAUCCAACGGUCGACUGCUACAGGCGCCAACGGUCGGCUGACGUGGCGUGCACCGGACAUCUACUGUUCAGUGUCCGGUGGUGCACCGGACUGUCCGGUGCACCCGUCGACAGAAAGCUGCUGCUUUCUGUCCAACGGCUAGUUGAGGGUGUGGAGGCUAUAAAUACCACCCCAACCGGCCAUUCUCAGGUGUGGGAGCCCAAGCAACAUACCAAGGCAUAUAGUGCACAUUUCCAAGAGCUCAAACACCCAAGUGCUUAAUAGAAUCACUCGGUGAUUAGCGUAGGUGCUUUGCGAAGUGCUUAGGUUAGUUAGACCGCUUUAGCGCUUGCUCUAGGUGAACCCUAGUUAGUUGAGUGAGUUUUGUAAAACCACACAACCCCUCGGCUCUUGCUUGAGCCGUUGUAAUUGUACCGAGUGGGGCGAGAGUCUUGCGAGACCGUGACAACCGUGUUUGUGUCACGGCCGCCACCGUGUACCGGAGGGAACGAGGCCCGCGGCGUUUCGGCCGGAAGCUCGAUAGUGGAGACGGCGGGGAGCGUCCGAGAGGAGCCGAAAGCGGAGCACCACUUGCGCGUGGAGAAGGCCCGUGGCUCUCUACGGAGUUACUCGACCGUGGUGCUUGGCCCUCGCGUGGGCUUCCCUUUGCGUAGGGGCACCAACGAGGAUUAGUCGGGACCUUGCGUGGUUCCGGAUACCUCGGUAAAAAUACCGGCGUCUUCCACGAGAGUUUGCUUCUCUACUUAGCUCUUUACAUUCCGCAUUUAUAUUAAGCAUUUUAGUUUCAAUCUUGUAGUCAUACUUAUUUAGUGUAGAUUGAAACUUAGCCUUUGCGGUAGAGAUAGCAACACUUAGACAAAACCUAGUUUGCACAUUCUAGUUUUGAUUAUUUGCAUAGGUUUUGCUCUAGGGAUUUAAUUGUGGCCUAAUUUAGUAAAAGUUUUAGAAGUCCUAAUUCACCCCCCCC
rnacentral:lncRNA from 1 species